rnacentral:piRNA from 1 species
UGUCAAGGAAGCCUAGUGUCACACUGAUC